ACGGGUGAGUAACGCGUAUCCAACCUUCCCCUUAGUAGGGCAUAGCCCGGUGAAAAUCGGAUUAAUACCCUAUGUUCUUCACAGCAGACAUCUAACGUGAAGCAAAGGUUUACCGCUAAGGGAUGGGGAUGCGUCUGAUUAGGUAGUAGGCGGGGUAACGGCCCACCUAGCCUUCGAUCAGUAGGGGUUCUGAGAGGAAGGUCCCCCACAUUGGAACUGAGACACGGUCCAAACUCCUACGGGAGGCAGCAGUGAGGAAUAUUGGUCAAUGGGCGAGAGCCUGAACCAGCCAAGUAGCGUGCAGGAUGACGGCCCUAUGGGUUGUAAACUGCUUUUAUAUGGGGAUAAAGUUCACCACGUGUGGUGUUUUGCAGGUACCAUAUGAAUAAGGACCGGCUAAUUCCGUGCCAGCAGCCGCGGUAAUACGGAAGGUCCGGGCGUUAUCCGGAUUUAUUGGGUUUAAAGGGAGCGCAGGCGGCCUUUUAAGCGUGACGUGAAAUGUGGAUGCUCAACAUCUGAACUGCGUCGCGAACUGGAGGGCUUGAGUGGGUACGACGCCGGCGGAAUUCGUGGUGUAGCGGUGAAAUGCUUAGAUAUCACGAAGAACCCCGAUUGCGAAGGCAGCCGGCGAGUCCUCAACUGACGCUAAAGCUCGAAAGUGCGGGUAUCGAACAGGAUUAGAUACCCUGGUAGUCCGCACGGUAAACGAUGGAUGCCCGCUGUUGGCGAUACAAUGUCAGCGGCCAAGCGAAAGCGUUAAGCAUCCCACCUGGGGAGUACGCCGGCAACGGUGAAACUCAAAUGAAUUGACGG
rnacentral:rRNA from 1 species